rnacentral:lncRNA from 1 species
UGUCUGGUGGGAAUGUUUGUUGGGAAUGUUUGGUGGGGCACUGGAUGGAGCUGCAGGAGCAGAGGAAGGAGCAGCGGUGGAGAAAGGAGAUGGAGGAGCUCCGGUGGGAAUCUGGGAAUGCUGGGAGUGCUGGAAAUGGCUAUUGGGAAUUCUGGGAAUGUCUGGUGGGAAUGUUUGGUGGUGGCACCGCAUGGAGCUGCAGGAGCAGUGGCGGGAGCAGCGCAAGGAGCUCCGCAGGAAAAAGGAGAUGGAGGAGCUCCGGAGCUACUCGUCGCUGAUGAAGGCCGAGAACAUGUCCUCCAACCAGGUGGGCGGGGAGACCCCGGAAUUCCGGGAAUUCCUCGGGAAAGGGGGGCGGGAGAGCUCUGGGAAUUCCUCGGGAAAGGGGUGGGGAAAAUGGGAAUGACGGGAGAUACGGGAAUAACGGGGUUAAUGGGAUGGAGGGGGAUGGGAAUGAUGGGAAAUUUGGGAAUCGUGGGAACGGGAAUCAUGGGAAUGUGAUCUGGAAUAACGGGAUUAAUGGGAAUAGUGGGGUUUGGAAUAAUGGCAGUGGGA